GGCGGUCCUCAGGUGAUGCACCCCAUAAUCGGGCUCCCUCCUCUCUGGUUCCAGGUGUAUCACCUGAGAACCGCA
rfam:Myotis brandtii contig275849, whole genome shotgun sequence.